UUAUGGCUCAGGAUGAACGCUGGCGGUGUGCCUAAUACAUGCAAGUCGAUCGGGCGUAGCAAUACGUCAGAGGCGUACGGGUGAGUAACACGUAGGUAACCUACCUUUAAGACUGGGAUACCCAGACGAAAGUUUGGCUAAUACCGGAUAACAACAUUUGAGACAUCUCUUUUGUUUGAAAGGCGCUGCAAGGCGCCACUUUUUAGAUGGACCUGCGUCGCAUUAGCCAGUUGGUGAGAUAAAGCCCACCAAGGCUGGGAUGCGUAGCCGAUCUGAGAGGAUGACCGGCCACAAUGGGACUGAGACACGGCCCAUACUCCUACGGGAGGCAGCAGUAGGGAGUUUUCGGCAAUGGGGGAAACCCUGACCGAGCAACACCGCGUGAGUUGAUGAAGGUCUUCGGAUCGUAAAGCUCUGUUACGAGGGACGAAUGGUCGCUUUAGGAAAUGAGAGCGGUUUGACGGUACCUCGACCAGAAAGCGACGGCUAACUACGUGCCAGCCGCCGC
rnacentral:rRNA from 1 species